rnacentral:rRNA from 1 species
UCCUCCAAGGCUAAAUACUACUGACUGACCGAUAGUGAACCAGUACCGUGAGGGAAAGGCGAAAAGAACCCCGGAGAGGGGAGUGAAAUAGAACCUGAAACCGUAUGCGUACAAGCAGUGGGAGCCUACUUUGUUAGGUGACUGCGUACCUUUUGUAUAAUGGGUCAGCGACUUAUAUUCAGUGGCGAGCUUAACCGAAUAGGGGAGGCGUAGCGAAAGCGAGUCUUAAUAGGGCGUUUAGUCGCUGGGUAUAGACCCGAAACCGGGCGAUCUAUCCAUGGGCAGGUUGAAGGUUAGGUAACACUGACUGGAGGACCGAACCGACUACCGUUGAAAAGUUAGCGGAUGACCUGUGGAUCGGAGUGAAAGGCUAAUCAAGCUCGGAGAUAGCUGGUUCUCCUCGAAAGCUAUUUAGGUAGCGCCUCAUGUAUCACUGUAGGGGGUAGAGCACUGUUUCGGCUAGGGGGUCAUCCCGACUUACCAAACCGAUGCAAACUCCGAAUACCUACAAGUGCCGAGCAUGGGAGACACACGGCGGGUGCUAACGUCCGUCGUGAAAAGGGAAACAACCCAGACCGUCAGCUAAGGUCCCAAAGUCAUGGUUAAGUGGGAAACGAUGUGGGAAGGCUUAGACAGCUAGGAGGUUGGCUUAGAAGCAGCCACCCUUUAAAGAAAGCGUAAUAGCUCACUAGUCGAGUCGGCC